UACAAUAAAUGAAUACAUAUGAAAACUAAACAAUAAUUAAAUAAUAUUUGUAUAAUACUUGGAGCAAUCCAUUUAGGGUCAUGAAAUAGCUUAAGAUUAUUCCUAGUUUGGUAAACUCACAUUGACAAACUGGCUCCUAUAGUAGAAAGAUUUGUCCAAUAAAAAAAUAGUGUGGUUUAAUUUCAGAAAGAGACUUAUUAAGCUCUGUGAGAACUGAGCUGUGAAUUAUAAUAUCAGCAAACUUAGCACAUGUCUACAUUCAUAACAGAUUUUCAAUUCAUAGUGUAAGCUAAUCCUGUGACUGGUGUUAUGUCUGUGGAAUUUCAGAGGGAACAGGUAUUUUGUGACAAAGUGUAUGAGAAAAAAUGUGUUGGAAGCCGAGGUAUAUGUUCCCAAACCCAAUGAGAGAGUGGAGCCCAGACUGCUGCAAGGGACCUGGACGUCAUACAAGGGACCUAUAUUACACAUUUAGUAAACAUAAUGCCAAAUGGAAGAAUGGCAAGAUAAAUUUACAGAAGUUGUAGUGUCUCAAUUAAACAAUAUUUAAAAAACUGCACUACAGGAGAAAAUAAAUUAUGUCUCUGGUCUAGCAGUGUAUGUUGCAGUACCAGAGACACAGUGCAGUUUCAGUGAAGCCAAUAAAAGAGUGAAUGAAUAAAGAAAGACACUCACUCUGUCUUCAGGCCACGAGUGGCCUACCGGGACCAUCCAACCACCGUGUCAUCCUCAGUGAAGGAUGCGGAUAGGAGGGGCGAGGGGUCAGCACACCGCUCUCCCCGUCAUUAUGAUGGUAUUCUUGACCGAAGCUGCUACUAUUCGGUCGAGUAGCUCCUCAAUUGGCAUCACGAGGCUGAGUGCACCCCGAAACAAGAAAGAACCCAAUUCUAAUAUGUGACCUCCUUUUAAGCAUAUUGUAAGCAUAACUAACAGACUUUCAGUAACUUUUCUUUCAAUGACAGUUGUGAUUUAUAUUGUUUUUCAAUUUGUAAAAGAGAAAAUGUCACAAUUUCAGAGCAUUAUGUAUUCAGGCCAUAGUUUAUAUAGAAAGUGUUGUCAAUAUUAGAAAGUUUCAGUUUAUGACAAGAACAAUACAAUCGUCUCUGUUGGACA